rnacentral:lncRNA from 9 species
UGAGACCUUUACUCUUGCAUGGAUUGAUGAGACUUGGUGGGAUCAGAGGAAGGGAAGUAUGACUUCAGUGAGGGGAGUGUGAGCUCUGGUGGCAGAUGAGAGGUGACAACCAGGUCUCUAGGAGCCUAUCUGGAAUGUGAGUGGAGAGAAGCACCUCUGAGCUCCUGUCCAGCAGAAGUGCAGCAUUUUUUUAUGUGUGCCUGGGGUCUGAUUGGAGAAUAAAAUGAAAACUUUGUAGUCCAAGGCAGCUUUGUGGAUCAGAUGCUGUGGGCUGAAUCCUUGAAGAGGACAAGUCCAAGAGUAUCACGCUGUGAAUACUUAUCAUCUCAGCAGAGACACAUAGGAAAGAUGACAUCUUCCAGGGCUUGCAGGGGUGCUCUAUCUCCCUGGCCUCCAGGAGCCACCAGCAACUUGAGGGUAGGUGCUGAGGUACAACAGGGGGGUGAAAAAGUGAAGGGCAGCCUCUGAAAUGACUUCUGUGCUCAAUUUCAAUAGCAUUGCCUAAAGCAUAUAUGCUCCAAAGAGCUGACAUUCUAGGUUAUUUUUUGUAAUGUUUUAUUUUGCUUCCAAAUAUGGACUCUUAACAUUUAAAAAAAUGGUGGUGAAAUAUAUAUAGCAUAAAAUUUAUCCUUUUAACCAUUUUAAAGUGUUUAGUUCAAAGACAUUAAUAUAUUCAAAACGUGCAACCAUCACUACCAUCCACCUCCAGAACUUUUUCAUCUUUCCAAACUGAAACUCCGUACCCAUCACACAACAACGCUCCAUUCCCUGUCCUCCCAGCCCCUGGCAACCACCAUUAUACUUUUCAUCUCUAUGAAUUUUUAUACUCUAGGUAAUGCACACAAAUGGAAGCAUACAUUAUCUGUCCCUUUGUGCUUGGCUUAUUUCACUUAGCAUAAUGUUGACAGGGCUCAUCCAUGUUGUAGCUUGUGUCUGAACUUCAUUUCUUUUUAAGAUAAAAUAGUACUCCAUUGUCUGUGUAUGUCAUAUUUUGCUUAUCCAUCCAUCUACUUCAGACUGUGAUUGCUUCCAUCUUUCGGCCAUUGUGAAUAACGCUGCCAUAUACAAAUAUUUCUUUGAGUCCCU